rnacentral:sRNA from 1 species
AGGUUUUCGGUUUGGAGAAGGUGAAAACCUUCGUUAAGGUUCGAGUCGAGCAGCGCGAGACAACACGCGCAGCGUGGCCCGAAGGGUGAGGAGCGAAGCGACGAGUAAUCCUUCUCCCACCACCA